GUCAUAUGCUUGUCUCAAAGAUUAAGCCAUGCAUGUCUCAGUACAAGCCAAAUUAAGGUGAAACCGCGAAAGGCUCAUUAAAUCAGUUAUGGUUCCUUAGAUCGUACAACAAGUACUUGGAUAACUGUGGUAAUUCUAGAGCUAAUACAUGCAAACAGAGCUCCGACCGGAGACGGAAGGAGUGCUUUUAUUAGAUCAAAACCAAUCGGUGGCGGGUUCGCGCCCGUCAUCGUAUAACUUGGUGACUCUGAAUAACUUUCAGCUGAUCGCACGGUCAUCGCACCGGCGACGCAUCUUUCAAAUGUCUGCCUUAUCAACUGUCGAUGGUAGGUUCUGCGCCUACCAUGGUCGUAACGGGUAACGGGGAAUCAGGGUUCGAUUCCGGAGAGGGAGCCUGAGAAACGGCUACCACAUCCAAGGAAGGCAGCAGGCGCGCAAAUUACCCACUCCCGGCACGGGGAGGUAGUGACGAAAAAUAACGAUACGGGACUCAUCCGAGGCCCCGUAAUCGGAAUGAGUACACUCUAAACCCUUUAACGAGGAUCAAUUGGAGGGCAAGUCKGGUGCCAGCAGCC
rnacentral:rRNA from 1 species